GGGCGGCAGGCUUAACACAUCGCAAGUCGAACGCAUCCUUCGGGGUGAGUGGCAGACGGGUGAGUAACGCGUGGGAACGUGCCCUUCAGUUCGGAAUAACCCAGGGAAACUUGGGCUAAUACCGGAUACGUGCGAGAGCAGAAAGAUUGAUCGCCGAAGGAUCGGCCCGCGUCUGAUUAGCUAGUUGGUGGGGUAAUGGCCCACCAAGGCGACGAUCAGUAGCUGGUCUGAGAGGAUGAUCAGCCACACUGGGACUGAGACACGGCCCAGACUCCUACGGGAGGCAGCAGUGGGGAAUAUUGGACAAUGGGCGCAAGCCUGAUCCAGCCAUGCCGCGUGAGUGAUGAAGGCCUUAGGGUUGUAAAGCUCUUUCGGCGGGGACGAUAAUGACGGUACCCGCAGAAGAAGCCCCGGCUAACUUCGUGCCAGCAGCCGCGGUAAUACGAAGGGGGCUAGCGUUGUUCGGAAUCACUGGGCGUAAAGGGCGCGUAGGCGGCUUUGUAAGUCGGGGGUGAAAGCCUGUGGCUCAACCACAGAAUUGCCUUCGAUACUGCAGGGCUUGAGACCGGAAGAGGUUAGUGGAACUGCGAGUGUAGAGGUGAAAUUCGUAGAUAUUCGCAAGAACACCAGUGGCGAAGGCGGCUGACUGGUCCGGUUCUGACGCUGAGGCGCGAAAGCGUGGGGAGCAAA
rnacentral:rRNA from 1 species